UACGUAGGGGGCAAGCGUUGUCCGGAUUUAUUGGGCGUAAAGAGCGUGUAGGCGGCCAGACAGGUCCGUUGUGAAAACUCGAGGCUCAACCUCGAGAUGUCGACCGAAACCCCCUGGCUAGAGUCCGGGAGAGGAGAGUGGAAUUCCUGGUGUAGCGGUGAAAUGCGCAGAUAUCAGGAAGAACACCCGUGGCGAAAGCGGCUCUCUGGAACGGUACUGACGCUGAGACGCGAAAGCGUGGGGAGCGAACAGG
rnacentral:rRNA from 1 species